rnacentral:rRNA from 1 species
AUUGAACGCUGAUGGCAUGCUUAACACAUGCAAGUCGAACGGCAGCAUGCUUGUAGCAAUACAGGUGAUGGCGAGUGGCGGACGGGUGAGUAAUGCGUAGGGACCUACCGAAUAGAGGGGGAUAACUCAGGGAAACUUGAGCUAAUACCGCAUAAUACCGAGAGGUUAAAGGGGGCGUAAGCUCUCGCUAUUUGAUGGAC